GACGAACGCUGGCGGCGUGCUUAACACAUGCAAGUCGAACGGAAAGGCCCUGCUUUUGUUGGUUGCUCGAGUGGCGAACGCGUGUGUAACACGUGAGUAACCUGCCCUUGACUUUGUGAUAACUUCAGGAAACUCGGGCUAAUACCCGAUAUGAUCUCCUGCUGCAUGGUGGUGGUUGGAAAGUUUCGGCGGUUGUGUAUGGACUCGCGGCUUAUCAGCUUGUUUGUGGGGUAGUUGCUUACCAAGGCUUUGACGGGUAGCCGGCCUGAGAGGGUGAACGGGGACAAGGGGACUGAGAGACGGACCAGAAUGCUACGGGAGGCAGCAGUGGGGAGUAUUGCAGAAUGGGCGGAAGUCUGAUGCAGCAACGCCGCGUGCGGGAUGACGGCCUUCGAGUGGUAAACAGCUUUCGAAUGAGACGAAGAGGGAGUGACGGUAAUGGGUAAAGAAGCACCGGCUAACUACGUG
rnacentral:rRNA from 1 species